rnacentral:misc_RNA from 1 species
AAAUACCUGCAUACAAUACUGUAGGCGGGGGGACAAAAAAAAAGGUGGUGGUGAUUAUAGUGGAAAGACUCUAAAAUUUGAUUCGGUCUUGCUACUUGCCAUUCUGAGCUUUCGUAGCAUUGAAACUUUAGAAACCAGUUUUCUUAAGUAUCUUCAUCGAAGGAGUUCUGAACCUUGAAAUUUUCAUUUUCAGUGCCUAUUCAUUGCUCUGUAA